GUUGAAGGUUGAAAUCAGCUCAGAAUAAGGAAUGGGACACUCAAAACAAAAAUUUAAAAUCCGCACAAGCACUAAAUAGAUCAAUUAUAAUACAAACAUUUUUGAAACGCAUACAAUUUUCAGGUCCUAUGUUUCCAGAAGCAAGGUGAGUACAGUGUAUCACUCUGACACAGCUAACUUUGCACCUAAUGCUUACGGUUAGAUUCAUGCUUACACUUACAUUUCUAGGGUCCCAUAAUGGACUUCCAUUAGAAAAAUUAAAAAUAGAAUUAUAGGAAAUGUUUUUGAACAACUAACUGCUGUACAUGAGUUUGUAUUUCUACAAUAGAAACAAAAGUUCCAGAACCAGAUGCAGACACACCCGGAGCCGAUAAACUGCCUCCGCCGAGCAAGGAGCAGUCACAUGAGGAGAUCAAAUAACGGUUGGAUGGAGAAUAUGUUUGGGAGGUGGAAAAGCAUGAUCCAGUAAGUGCCCGUCGCGGGAAUAAAUGCAGAGACCGUGUUAAUUGUCACCGGCUGCUGUUGUAUUCCCUGCGCACGAGGGCUACUGCAUCUGCUGAUCCCCACAGCAGUGGGCGCUACAGAAGCGCCAAGUGCCAUUCAGGCUUACAUGGGGAUCAGAUAUGAUCCGAUGAAAGUGAAUGAUACAUCACCUGAGGGGCCCGACCAUAUCCAGCUGUAAUAUGUAGAAUAGUCAACACCUAUACUAUUCUAGUAGAAGCGCCUGUAUAUAAGAUAAUCAAUAUCCCGGAUUUACUUGAAUAACACAUUUCCAACAACCAUACCAGGCUGUUUGUUAUUGUAUAGUGUUGCGAAUGCAACCCGUUAUUUCUGAAUCGCUGCAUUGAUAAUGGUACUGUUGAUCUUCCUUGAGACGAUUGUUUUACAGGCCACCUGUUGCUGACACGACGACGGAGAACCUGUGGGGAGGCUCCCAUGGUGUAGGAGUAACCUCUCUGAGAUGAGCCCUUGACAAGGAGGGACGAGUCUUGGGUUCAUGAAUUACAGACCCGACGGCGACAGAAAAAACAAUGAACUCCCCAAAUCCAUGCCCAAACCACCCACAGGAACCGGCACACCAAUACACGAAGAUCACUUGAACUCCCCAAAUCCAUGCCCAAACCACCCACAGGAACC
ensembl:lncRNA